rnacentral:rRNA from 1 species
AUGGCAGAAUGCUUCAAUAAGGUGCUCAAGGGUGUACGUGCAUUACCCGUGACGGUAAUAGUUCAAUACACAUUUGACAAGUUGAAUGAAUACUUUUUAAAGCACUCAAUGGAGACUGAUAAGCAGAUUCUGAACAAGGAUAAGCACAAGUACAAUUUCCCACCAAAGGUUGAAGAAUGGUUGGAAUUUCAAUCACGAAAGGCAGACUCCGAAGAAGCUGUACUAUAUGACGACAACGAGUGGAAGUAUGAGGUGAAAGAGCCCGGAGGAACCACAAACGAUGGCCGCCAACACGGAGGCCGGGCUUUCAAGGUCUCCCUAACACGGUGUGAUUGCAGCUGCAUGAGGCCGUAUUUGCUUCAUCUCCCAUGCUCGCACUUGUUAAAUGCAUCCCGGGUUAGGAAUGUGGACGUCAAUCACCCUCUUACCGUGAGGGAGUCCGAGUUCUCAAUCAUGACGGUAAAGAAUACAUGGACUCCACGGUUCCAGCCAUACUUGGACCAAUCACAAUGGCCGGAGUAUCAUGGAGUUCAACUAUGGCCGGACCCA